rnacentral:lncRNA from 1 species
AAGCAGAAUGUUAUCAGCUGCACCUGGCAAUCAGAAGAGUCCCUCAUGGCCUGUUAAGAAACUUCAGAGCAUAGGCUGCAGUUCUCAAUAUCUGUUUACCAAUCCAGUACUGUAUAUGUAUUUUCACGUGGGCCAACCACAUGCAUGCAUUUGCAAUACCUUGCUCUUCUGAAUCGGUAUCGAUCAAUCAGUUUGUUCCCUCGCUUUUAGAGCAAACAGGCUACCAAACCAGCAACGGUGAGUCUAUUUAUUUUCUCAUAUAUAUAUUAUAUGUAGGUUUUAUUUUCUACAGCGGAGUGGAGAAGGAAAGAGACUGAAAGGUUAGGAAAGCCUGAGGCAAGGAUAUUCCCUUUGUUCUCCAUGCGUGCAACCUUAGAAGAAGAUGCAAAAAGUAAGCAACCAAGUAUUAUUUGUAAAAGGGGCUGGGAAUGGUUCUGUUAGUUUUCUGCAGAAAGAGUAUGUCUCUUUGUGUGUAAGUAACUGGAGUAUGGUCAAUCUUUCCAGCAUGGAGCUGUGUAAUCAAUAGUAAUGUUUCUCAGAAUGUAGGCCAAGACUGUAGGCCAAGCCCCUUUCAGGUAGGCCACAGUGCCUGCCCCAACCCUUACCUGGGCCUCAGAUUUUUGAUGCUCCACUGUCAACACCACAAGUCUUAGCUGAGCAAAGGUGGCCAGGAAACGGAGAAGUUUCAGUAGGGAUGUUGGAAAGAAAGGUUUCCCUCCUUUGAAGCAAAAGGGCCACAGGAAAGGUUGAAGGAAAGUAAAAACCGAGCUAUAAAUUUAAUGAACUAUUUUGUUGGUUAAACUCGGAAUAGAAAAUAAAAAUAAGAGAAAUAAUGUGUUGUAGGAGGAAGUGAAUGUGAAUGUUGCAAGGUGACUGUGAAAAGAGAACUGGAGAAGAAUGCUUUGUGAUACAUGCAGGAUUGGGAAGAGAACAAGGGAAAGCAAAUUUUAGAAUUAGUGGAUCAGCUGUGCAAAAGGGAGAGGCUGACUUAUAUUGCCUCCCCUGUAGUUGAACUAUGGAGCAACUUGCCGGAAGGAAAAGGCUUUGGCCGUCUGCAACAAUGGAUUGAAUAUCAGUAGAAAGUUAUAUUAGUAAUCAUCUGUUGAUUAUGUGGGAUGCUUGUCUGCAUCUGCCACCAUUUUGUGACUUCUGGCCCUCAGUAAUUUUCAGCUCUCUUAAAUGGGCCCUGUGGGUAGAAAGUUUGAGACCCAUAACAAGAGUUUGUAUGCAUAGGGACUGCGUUUCUUUGGGUGUUGUGAGCUUUAUACCUUUCUUCUUAGUUUCUCUGACAUGUGAAAAACAACCACUACCACCAGCUAAUGAAGGCUGCAUUUCAGUGUUUUGAAUUUAAUCCCCUGCAUAUUUACUUUGAACAAAGCUCAGUGUGUUCAAUAGCCCUCACUCCAAAAAGUGGUGUGUGUGUGUUUUAUACCCAGACCACACUAAGGAUUCGGCUACAUUGGCAAAGAAAAAGCACUUUAUAUGCAUUGAAUAAUAAGGGACGCGGGUGGCGCUGUGGGUAAAACCUCAGCGCCUAGGACUUGCCGAUCGCAUGGUCGGCGGUUCGAAUCCCCGCGGUGGGGUGCGUUCCCAUUGUUUGGUCCCAGCGCCUUCCAACCUAGCAGUUUGAAAGCACCCCCGGGUGCAAGUAGAUAAAUAGGGACCGCUUACCAGCGGGAAGGUAAACGGCGUUCCGUGUGCUGCUCUGGUGCCGGUUCGCCGGAGCAGCUUCGUCACGCUGGCCACGUGACCCGGAAGUGUCUGCGGACAGCGCUGGCUCCUAUAGAGUGAGAUGAGCACACAACCCUAGAGUCUGUCAAGACUGGCCCGUACAGGCAGGGGUACCUUUACCUUUACCUUUUUAUGCAUUGAAUAUGCAUUAUAACACUGUGACACCAGAUGGCGUUGUGGAGUUCUGUUUUUGCCAAUCCAAUUUCUCAUACAAAGUUUACAACUCGUUAAACUGAAACACUUCUUUGAUGUGUCUACAUCUAGCCUAAGCAAGGGUUUCUGCCUAGCCUACUUCAGAGUUGGAGCAAAGCUGGUAAGUGAUGUGAUUAAUGACCAUUUUUAUAACUGGAGACAAGCAGUACAGUGGUACCUUGGGUUACAUACGCUUCUGGUUACAGACGCUUCAGGUUACAGACUCCACUAACCCAGAAAUAGUACCUCGGGUUAAGAACUUCAGGAUGAGAACAGAAAUCGCAUGGCAGCGGUGGCAGCGGGAGGGCCCAUUAGCUAAAGUGGUACCUCAGGUUAAGAACAGAUCUCCGGAACGAAUUACGUACUUAACCCAAGGUACCACUGUAUAUUUCAGUAGUAAGUGGCAGAAGUCUGCAGUGGGGCAAAGAUCUCCAGCCCUGGCAAGAUGAAAGUAUACUCACUUUCUCCUGUUGUUACUGCUUUUCUUACCUCUUCAGACUACUCUAAAGGAAGUCAUUCAAAAACAUGGCCAAGACCUAGAUUUGGUUAUGACUUUACACUUAGAAAAUGUAGUUGCUUAUAACAGGGCAGGGCAGAAGAAAAGCAAGCUGUGAGUAUGGGGUGGGCCCACUUUUUAUUUCUCUGGUGAGGCCCCUAUGUGCAGUUGUGUAACAGAUGGAACAGUUAUAACCUUUAUCAGUAUAAAGAUGUGAUGGCAGGGAUACUAUUCUUCUUGGUUCCAACACUGUUGGCCUGCUGUUAGUCCUAUUGUGGGAGAAGAAUGUAAAUGCUGUAGUCUAGUUGCUUUGGAUUUUAAACUGAAUAUAUUACUCACCAGCACUUGCUUUACCUCUACAUUUUCUGUUGCCAAAUACAAUAUUAAAAAACAGGCAAAGCCUAACCUGCCCAUGAUUUCUUACUAGCCUGGGAUACACACACAUUAGGUUGCUAACUGGCUCUUCCAAGCUGGAUUGAGUCGCUGAUUUCCAAACUAAGACUGCCUACUUUGCUUGGAUAGUCAGCCAGGAACCAACACAAGACAUUGCUGCCACUAGCAGAGAUGCUGUUUUGGAAACUUUUCAGUAAUGGUUUACUAUACUACCAUCUUCUUUCUGCCAGCAAGCCCCAUGAUAAGUUCAACCUGGAAAAAGUUUCUUCUAUUAUUUAUGAAAAUGUAUUUACCCUGAAACUUCCACUCCUAUGAGAUGUGUAGGGCAACUAAAAAAUUAGGUACAAAGUGAUCAAUCCAUUAAAACAGUUAAAAACACCAUUGAUCACUACCAGCAGCAGAAACAAAAACAAAAAAGCCAGUCAGAUCAACAAACUGGGGUAGUCAUAUUAGUGUUUCCAGAUAAUGUCUGUCUCCACAAAAAUGGCCUGCUCCUGAAAGGCCCCCCAAAAUUGUGGUAUGCAGGAUCUCCCAGAGCAGAGCAUCUGGACCACCACAGUUGUGUAGGUUUUGUUCCACACUCUCACUCUCCACAAUCUGGGUAGCACUGAUAAGAAGGCCUUAUUCAAAAUCCAUACCCUCCACACCCAGCAGGGUAGUAGACUGUGGAACAAACUACCCUGCAAUUGCCAUGGGGUGGAGUGGGGCAGAUUCUUGCGGAAGCACAUGGUAUUUUUACACAGCUGCUGUGGCUAGGAAGCCUAUGUGAAAAAGAGGACAGGACUCAUGCACGUUGAAUAGUUCUGUAGAGGAGGGGAUUUCAGCAGAUGGCAAGCUGCACCUGGUGAAAUUUCCCUUUCUGCUCAACUAUUAAAUGCUCUUGAGUCCUGCCCUUCUUUUCACAUAGCCACCCUAAUCAAAGCCCAGUUGUCUGACCACAUCUGGUCAAGAAGCAUUCUUGUGACCUAAGAAAAAUGGAGAAGCAUGUAUCAAUCACUCCCCGAAGAAGCAGAACCACCACAGACACAGAAAUAGGACAGACUUUGAAAAGCACUAAUCAUGUUCUUCAAUCAAUGCUUUAAUUGCUCUUUAUUUGUAUUUGGCUUCUCCUGCCUAACAGGCAGCAUUCGCUUCAGCCUAACAAAAGGGCUGUGCUCUAGAGAAUGUCUGAAGCCAUCAUUCAAAAAUCAGUGAAGAACAUUGAGUUUUGGGAUUAGAAGGGUCGGAGUGAAAAAUGAUUGAUCCCUUGCAGCUCUCCUGGGAGUGUCCAUGUUGCCGUAAACAAGAUAAAAGAAAGUUUAUCCCUGCAGAAUCACAUUUAAGGAAAAAAUUGAUUUCUGAACAAACUAGAUUAACAGGAAAAUCAUUAUCAGUAACUUAGAUAAGUUGCAAACACCAUUAACUUGAAUGGUUUUUUUAAAAGCUCACCUGAACUUUCACCACUUCCUGCCAUACCCUUAAUUAAUCUUCUCUCCUGUAAGCAUUGCUGGAAAUUUAAUUUGGAGAGGGAUAUGAUGAAGCUUAUGCAGCAUUUGCACUCUACACAUUUUUUUCCUCUUGGACAGAUUUUAUGGCAAACCAGUUCUGCUUUGCUGACUGGUUCAUUGUCAUAAUGAAAGUGAUAGGAUGGUGGGUGAGAUAAGGGAGCUUCAUUACCCUCUGCCAAUCCCGGCUGCACUGUUACACUAAUCUUACAGAGGUUGUAGAAAAGUGGCAUGGCUUUACUGAAUACCUGUGAAUUUAAGUAAAAGAUCCUGGAUAGUCAAUUUGUGCCUUGCAAAUGUUGGUGGACUCUCAUUAGCCCCAAUCAACCAGCAUGGCCAGUAGGAACACAGGAAGCCACCUUAGACUGAAUCAGACCUUUUGUCUCUCCAGUUUCCCUUCACACAUCCCUGACCAGCCCGCCUGCAUUGCUUCUGACUAUAUUAUCUAUAUUUUAAUCUGGUGACUGUCGUUUUGGCCUCUUGUUUCAGUGCCACUUUUCCUUGCUAAAAUCUCCCUCCCUUGCUCCAUCUCCCUCAAUUUAUUUCUCUCUCUCUCUUUUUUUUAAAAAUAAUAUUUAUUAAAAGUUUCAGAUUUACAG